rnacentral:rRNA from 1 species
CCUACGGGGGGCAGCAGUCGAGAAUCAUUCACAAUGGGGGAAACCCUGAUGGGGCGACGCCGCGUGGGGGAAUGAAGGUCUGCGGAUUGUAAACCCCUGUCAUGUGGGAGCAAAUUAAAAAGAUAGUACCACAAGAGGAAGAGACGGCUAACUCUGGGCCAGCAGCCGCGGUAAUACAGAGGGCUCAAGCGUUGUUCGGAAUCACUGGGCGUAAAGCGUGCGUAGGCUGUUUCGUAAGUCGUGUGUGAAAGGCGCGGGCUCAACCCGCGGACGGCACAUGAUACUGCGAGACGAGAGGAAUGGAGGGGGAACCGGAAUUCUCGGUGUAGCAGUGAAAUGCGUAGAUAUCGAGAGGAACACUCGUGGCGAAGGCGGGUUCCUGGACAUUAACUGACGCUGAGGCACGAAGGCCAGGGGAGCGAAAGGGAUUAGAUACCCCUGUAGUC